rnacentral:rRNA from 1 species
GGAAUCUUGCGCAAUGGGCGAAAGCCUGACGCAGCAACGCCGCGUGCGGGAAGAAGGCUUUAGGGUUGUAAACCGCUUUCAGCAGGGAAGAAAAUGACGGUACCUGCAGAAGAAGGUGCGGCCAACUACGUGCCAGCAGCCGCGGUGACACGUAGGCACCAAGCGUUGUCCGGAUUUAUUGGGCGUAAAGAGCUCGUAGGCGGUUCAGUAAGUCGGGUGUGAAAACUCUGGGCUUAACCCAGAGCCGCCACCCGAUACUGCUGUGACUUGAGUCCGGUAGGGGAGCGGGGAAUUCCUGGUGUAGCGGUGAAAUGCGCAGAUAUCAGGAGGAACACCGGUGGCGAAGGCGCCGCUCUGGGCCGAGACUGACGCUGAGGAGCGAAAGCAUGGGUAGCAAACAGGAUUAGAUACCCUGGUAGUCCAUGCCGUAAACGUUGGGCACUAGGUGUGGGCAUCAACCAACGAUGUCCGCGCCGUCGCUAACGCAUUAAGUGCCCCGCCUGGGGAGUACGGCCGCAAGACUAAAACUCAAAUGAAUUGACGG